UUGCGCGGGAGGGUUCAUGCAAAGCGACACAGGAGCCAUUAAAUGGCUAGGGUUUCCUGUCGAGAAACAACCUGGGAGUCGAAGGCUUCCUUCGUUGGAUAGGGUUCCACUUUGCUGGUGAAUUUGGAGGCGAUUCAGAGAUUGGUGGAUGGGUUUUUCGUAGAUUAGAUUAUCAAAUUGAUUGGUGUGAUUUGUUUCCCAAUCUAUUUUCUCAUUCACUCCCGUGAUGUGUCUCAGUCAUUCAUUUCUCCAAUCUAUUUUCCCAUUCAUCUCACUGGUUGGGAUGUGACUUUUAAAAUAUGAUGAGCAGAUGCAAUCCAUAGGUAUGAUAUAUUUUAUUGCAGUAUUUCCAUUCGAUUACUGGUUGCUUGAUAGAAUUGUUUGCCCAAUGUCCAUAUGGAAUCAUUAAAGUGCGCUAGUUUGUUUGCUUGGUUAAUUCAUUAACACAAUCUAUUUCUCAUGCAUUGGAUCUCUUACACUACCCAAUAAUUCAUCAUUGAUUACCUCGUUAUCCAAUAACUCAUCAUUGGUUGCAUCGUUAUGUGGCUGGGUCAACAACAUACUUCAUAAGCAUGGAAGCUGCACAACAAGUGGGGUUAUACUUCAAUGACAGCACUGGUGUCAGUGUCAUUGUUGUCAAUGGUGACCGGGUGGCCUACCGGGGUUUAGCUCGCAAUGUUGCCACGCGCAUUGGCGACGAGUUCUUUGAAAUUGAUUGCUAUGCAAUUCCCCUCGACUGCUAUGACAUGGUCCUUGGCACCUCAUUUCUCAGGACGUUGGGUCCAAUUUUAUGGGACUUCGAUGAUCUUUGCAUGGCAUUCACACA